rnacentral:rRNA from 1 species
AGCCAUACCACCAUGAACAUGCCUGACCAUGGAAGCUAAGCAGGGUUGAGCCUGAUCAGUACUUGGAUGGGAGAUUCCUGGUAGGCUC